UGGCGGCAUGCCUUACACAUGCAAGUCGAACGGCAGCGCGGGGCAACCUGGCGGCGAGUGGCGAACGGGUGAGUAAAAUAUCGGAACGUACCCUGGAGUGGGGGAUAACGUAGCGAAAGUUACGCUAAUACCGCAUACGAUCUAAGGAUGAAAGUGGGGGCUCGCAAGACCUCAUGCUCCUGGAGCGGCCGAUAUCUGAUUAGCUAGUUGGUGGGGUAAAGGCCUACCAAGGCAUCGAUCAGUAGCUGGUCUGAGAGGACGACCAGCCACACUGGGACUGAGACACGGCCCAGACUCCUACGGGAGGCAGCAGUGGGGAAUUUUGGACAAUGGGCGCAAGCCUGAUCCAGCAAUGCCGCGUGAGUGAAGAAGGCCUUCGGGUUGUAAAGCUCUUUUAACGGGGAAGAUAAUGACGGUACCCGUAGAAUAAGCCCCGGCUAACUUCGUGCCAGCAGCCGCGGUAAUACGAAGGGUGCAAGCGUUAAUCGGAAUUACUGGGCGUAAAGCGUGCGCAGGCGGUUUUGUAAGUCUGUCGUGAAAUCCCCGGGCUCAACCUGGGAAUGGCGAUGGAGACUGCAAGGCUAGAGUUUGGCAGAGGGGGGUAGAAUUCCACGUGUAGCAGUGAAAUGCGUAGAGAUGUGGAGGAACACCGAUGGCGAAGGCAGCCCCCUGGGUCAAGACUGACGCUCAUGCACGAAAGC
rnacentral:rRNA from 1 species